rnacentral:lncRNA from 1 species
GGACUCUCGCGAGAGCGCGCUGCGCGGCGACUGGGCGCCGAGGGUCCUCCCGGAGCGGAGGGACACAGAGGGACUCUAGGGCACCUGCCAUCGCGAACAGUAUGGGAGCGGGAGGCGAGUGCCGCUUCAGGCGGAGAAUCCAGGCGGUGGCGGGACCUCUCUGAGGCGGAGUUGCCGCCACCGAGGCCUGGCUGCCGGGGAAGAAGAGCACGGGAGCGCGGACUCGUGUUGCUGGCGGAGGGACACGGAGUUGCGGCGGAGGGAUUUGGGCCGUGUUCCUGACCAGGGCCGCGGUCGCGGCUGGAGUGGGUCACCAGACUCCGUGGGACUUUCUUGCCCUGGCGGAGGCGCACGUGUGGCCUUUGCCUUUGCCGGCGGAGGGAUCUGUGCGUGGCUCCAGGUCUUUCCUGGCGCUGUCCCAGCUCAGUGCUUUCUUGUUGCCCCUGGCGUUGGGGAGGUGGAUGUGGUCGAGCCUGAGGAGAAGGGGGCAGAGGGGUCUCGGGGCCAGCGUUCCGCCAUCCAGGCCCGAGCUUGCCCCCUCAUGGUGCUGCCCCUGUCCCCGAUUUCAUAGACUGGCUUUCCCUCUCGAGCACCUACUAUGUGCCAGGCUGCGCUUUGCGCGCUUGGCAGAGGCAACAGUGUCACCAGGGGGUGCUGGUUUCUCCCCAAGGGGCUUUUGUCUGUCCCUUGUUGCAGAGCUAGCGCAUGAGACCAAGUGUGAGUGUCAGGCCGUUCAGCCUUCAGUGGCCAUGGAAUUGGAGAAGUGGAAGCGUAGCUCGCGAGUCAAGCUCUCAGCUCUUGAAAACUGAGAAGUUACAGAGACAGGGUGUGAAACUCCUGAGCUCAAGUGACCAGCCUGCCUUGACCUCCCUAAGUGGUGGGAUUACAGGAGUGAGCCCCUGCGGCCGGCCUAGAUCUUCUGAUUUGUAAAGAGAAGCUGGUAGUAUUUUUAGAUGGAGUCUUGCUGUGUUGCAAAAUAAAAUAAAUACAAAAAAUUAGCCGGGCGUGGUGGUGGGUGCCUGUAGUCCCAGCUACUCAGGAGUCUGAGGCAGGAGAAUGGCAUGAACCCAGGAGGUGGAGGUUGCAGUGAGCCGAGAUUGUGUCACUGCACUCCAGCCUGGGUGACAGAGUGAAACUCCGUCUUAAAAAAAAAAAAAAGGUAGAAGUGAGUCGCAGGUCUCACCCAUACUCAAUGGGAGGAAUCACAAAAGGACGUGAACACCAGGAGACAGAGAUCUUGGAAGCCACCUUAAAGUCUACCUGCCAUAUACACCAUAUGUGACUGCACACCUCACCUCUUACCUCACGAAAUCACUUGAGGAGGAAUUCUGUGAUGAAAAUAUAAAUUUGCUGCCAGAGACUUGGUCUUGCUGCAUUACCCAGGCUGGUCUUGAACCUCUUGGCUCAAACAAUCCUCCUGCUUCAGCCUCCUGAGUAGCUGGGACUACAGGCUCAUGUCAUGCAUCUGGCAAAGAGCUCACAGCCUAGUGAAGAUGUGUGGGAGACAAUUACUGGAUUCAUCCAGGGCUGGCAUUUUUCCAGGUAGGUGAGAAAGUCAGACAUUGAUACAAAAGAUUAAAAUAUUGAAAAAGGAGCUAGGAUGAUUGUCAGCUGUUGCCAAAAAGAAAUCUUAGAAUUUAAGAUCUCAGAGAUGUGAAAUUUUUUGUUGGAUGGAUGACUUUAUGGUCUAGGGUGUGAGAAGAUGAGAGAAGAUGUUCAAAGAGGAGUGGAGGUGAAGGCCACUGAGUUGAGCGGGCAAAAGAUUUGAGAGGCAUGGAUAGUGAAUGGGGUGCUCAAAUGGAUACUAAAGUCACUUGGGAUAGUGAUAGUGCUUGGAACAGAGAGGAAAAUGAUACACCAUGAUAUUUAUUAAAAAAAAAAAAAAAAAA